AUGUUGCCUGGUUCCUGGCUUGCUGAUGGAGAGACUGACUGGACUCCCACCAUGCCUCCACACAGGGAAUCUGUCUCCUUGACUCCUAGAAGUCACCAGCUCCCUGGUCUUCUGCCUUUCUUGAUGCGGCUUCUCACACAGUGAAGAGAAGGGCUACAGUUUCCACAUUUAAAAACCAUAGUUGUGAAGCAGUUAAACUUGGCUUUGAUCAUGUUCAGAAGUUGCAAAGGGACACCAAAAGC
rnacentral:lncRNA from 1 species